UUCGCUUCUCGGCCUUUUGGCUAAGAUCAAAGUGUAGUAUCUGUUCUUAUCAGCUUAAGAUGAGCUGAAAUGGACUGAUUACUGCACCGGGAAGCGGUCGUUUUUAUUCUCCUGUUUCAGGUCCGCGACCUGAACAAUGGAGCUUGUGGUGACGCUGCCGGCGGAGGUCUUCCGCUGCCGGAUCUGUU